rnacentral:rRNA from 1 species
UAGGGAAUCUUCCGCAAUGGGCGAAAGCUUGACGGAGCAACGCCGCGUGAGUGAUGAAGGUCUUCGGAUCGUAAAACUCUAUUAUUAGGGAAGAACAAAUGUGUAAGUAACUAUGCACGUCUUGACGGUACCUAAUCAGAAAGCCACGGCUAACUACGUGCCAGCAGCCGCGGUAAUACGUAGGUGGCAAGCGUUAUCCGGAAUUAUUGGGCGUAAAGCGCGCGUAGGCGGUUUUUUAAGUCUGAUGUGAAAGCCCACGGCUCAACCGUGGAGGGUCAUUGGAAACUGGAAAACUUGAGUGCAGAAGAGGAAAGUGGAAUUCCAUGUGUAGCGGUGAAAUGCGCAGAGAUAUGGAGGAACACCAGUGGCGAAGGCGACUUUCUGGUCUGUAACUGACGCUGAUGUGCGAAAGCGUGGGGAUCAAACAGG